CCCAGGUUCGUUCAUUGGUUUCAAGUUCUGGGUUUUCAUGUCAAAAUCAAACAAGCACCAAACUCUCAAGCCAAAACAACAAUCAAACCCAAAUCUUGUACUUUGCCCUCCUAAGAAUUCUCAAACCCAAAUUACACGCACAAACAGGAACAAAAAAUGCAACCUUUAGCUCAUCAAAUUACAUAUGUGGGAAACACUAUCUGUUCAUGGCCUCUCGAUUGAAUUCUUAGUUCAGAUUCACAUUAAAUGAACAAAGGGCCGACACCAGGCCUAUCAAUAGCACAACAACAUCCCCAAACAUAUCCACAGUCAUCGUCAUCAGGCAUGAGCAGCAACUAAAAACUUAGAAAAGGAAGAAAAUCAUGCAUCAGUGACUCAAAUCUCUAUGAAAGUUGUAUUAAACCAACAUUGAGAGGAAUCCAUGUUUACUUGAGAGCACUAAAGCAGCUAGACAAUCAUGAAAUGCCCCAAGAAACGAACGGUUCUGGAAGACGCAACCCACGAACUGUUUUUGCAAAAAAUUUUCAGCCCUGAUGAAGGCGCUACUUUGGGCCGAGAUUUCACUUGCUUAGAGCCGUUUUCUCCCAGGGAUUUGUGAACAAAAUUUCUCCUAAUACCUCCCAGGAAGGUGCAGAACCCAUGAAAUCACUCAAAAACUAGAAAUCAGAAUGAGAAAUCAAUCUGGAAGGGGGAUGGUCUGCCAUCCUGGUACCAGAUUUUCUGCAACUUUUCCUUCUUCCUUUCUUCUCCAGCCAGCCCGAAGCUCCUUCCUUCCUCUUGUUUUCUUUUUUUUCAGAUUUCCCCCAAGCUCUCUUUUUUCUCUCUUGGUAGCAGCCCCCCUUUCUUUUUCUUCCCUGGUUUUUCUCCUGCCCAGCCCGUAGCCUCUCCAAGCUUUUUCUCUCCCUCCAGCUCUCUUUCUUUCUUUGCUGUUACUUCCUUAUCCCAGAAACCCUUCUUGUUCAGCUGUUCCCCCCUCUUUCUUUUUUUUUUUGGAUUUCUCCCCACGAAACCCUUUUUCUUUUCCUCUCUUAAAACCUCUCUUGCCCGAAGCCCUUUCUGGUUUUCUUUGUUCCUUCCCCGCGCAGCCUUCCCUUCCUUGUUUCCUCUAUACUGCCCGAAAGCUCUCUAGCUUUCCUUCUUGCCUUUGCCCGUAACUUUUCUUUUCCCUCAAUCUCCUGUCUCUUCUUGGUUUCUCUUUCUGGUUUCCUACCCUUUCUCCUCCAGCCCGUCACCCUCAGCUCUCUCUC
rnacentral:lncRNA from 1 species